AUUGAACGCUGGCGGCAUGCCUUACACAUGCAAGUCGAACGGCAGCACGGGUGCUUGCACCUGGUGGCGAGUGGCGAACGGGUGAGUAAUACAUCUGAACAUGUCCUGUAGUGGGGGAUAGCCCGGCGAAAGCCGGAUUAAUACCGCAUACGAUCUACGGAUGACAGCGGGGGACCUUCGGGCCUCGCGCUAUAGGGUUGGCCGAUGGCUGAUUAGCUAGUUGGUGGGGUAAAGGCCUACCAAGGCGACGAUCAGUAGCUGGUCUGAGAGGACGACCAGCCACACUGGGACUGAGACACGGCCCAGACUCCUACGGGAGGCAGCAGUGGGGAAUUUUGGACAAUGGGCGAAAGCCUGAUCCAGCAAUGCCGCGUGUGUGAAGAAGGCCUUCGGGUUGUAAAGCACUUUUGUCCGGAAAGAAAUCCUUGGCCCUAAUACGGUCGGGGGAUGACGGUACCGGAAGAAUAAGCACCGGCUAACUACGUG
rnacentral:rRNA from 1 species